AGUUGGUCGGGCAGCCGCGCUUUUUCAAUACCGAAAGGUGAAAGGUGAGGAAAGUCCGGGCUCCAUGGAAAAACGGUGCCGGAUAACGUCCGGCGAGGGUAACCUCAGGGAAAGUGCCACAGAAAUAUACCGCCUGUUCAAUCAGGUAAGGGUGAAAAGGCGGGGUAAGAGCCCACCGCGCAUCCAGUAAUGGAUGUGGCAAGGUAAACCCCACCGGGAGCAAGACCGAAUAGGUCAUUCGGGUAGGUUGCACGAGGCGGGUGGUAACAUCCGUCCCAGAUGAAUGGUUGCCACGCGCAAUUCCUGCUGAAUUGCGCCAUACAGAACCCGGCUUAUAGACCAACUG
rnacentral:RNase_P_RNA from 1 species